CGGACGGGUGAGUAACGCGUGGAAAACCUGCCGUAUACUGGGGGAGUAACACUUAGAAAUAGGUGCUAAUACCGCAUAAGCGCACAGCUUCGCAUGAAGCGGUGUGAAAAACUCUGGUGGUAUACGAUGGUUCCGCGUCUGAUUAGCUAGUUGGUGGGGUAAUGGCCUACCAAGGCAACGAUCAGUAGCCGGCCUGAGAGGGUGAGCGGCCACAUUGGGACUGAGACACGGCCCAAACUCCUACGGAAGGCAGCAG
rnacentral:rRNA from 1 species